rnacentral:misc_RNA from 1 species
ACGAGUGAGGGUCGUCCAGGCCCGACCUCCCAACCCUUUGUUUACCGAACCUCUGUUGCUUCGGCGGACCCGCCUCACGGCCGCCGGAGGACCGUCGCAAGGCGUCCUCUGGCCCGCGUCCGCCGACGGCCCACCACACAAACCCUGAACCAACCGUGUCGUGUGUCUCAGUUCAUGAUUAAAUUAUAAGCA